GAAUUUCGCUCAGUUGGUGGAGCAUGAGACUCUUAACCUCAUAGUUGUGGGUUUGAGCCCCACGUUGGGCA